rnacentral:rRNA from 1 species
GACGGAGGAUGCAAGCGUUAUCCGGAAUGAUUGGGCGUAAAGCGUCCGCAGGUGGCAGUUCAAGUCUGCUGUCAAAGACCGGGGCUUGACUUCGGAAAGGCAGUGGAAACUGAACAGCUAGAGUAUGGUAGGGGCAGAGGGAAUUCCUGGUGUAGCGGUGAAAUGCGUAGAGAUUGGGAAGAACACCAGUGGCGAAGGCGGCUAUCUGGACGGUUUCUGACGCUAAGACGCGAAAGCGUGGGGAGCAAACAGG